UGCUUUAUCCAAAACCGCUGGUCAGAAUCAAUCCAUCGAUGAUCCGAUUCAAUCCACCGGUUUUCCAAGUCAAUCCGUUACUCCACAAUCAACUUCACAAUCUGACUAUCAUCAUGCAGGCGGCUCCCACUCAGAUGGUUCAAAUCAAUCUGCUGCGCCACCAUCGACUGUUGGUCUGAGUCAAUCCGAAUCUGGCCCAAGUCUAGCCACCGAUAGCCCGACAAUUGUCAAUACCGCUGGUCCGAGUUCAAGUCGCUCCACCGCUCACCAUUACGUACCACGUUCACGGAAAUUAAUGGAGCCCACCAAGGAAACAGUCGACAGUGGCCGCUAUGCAUGGGGUGGCAAUACUGGCAAUCAUGGCAACAAAUACGAAGAAGAUUUAGCAUUUGCGCUGUUUGAGCGAGCAUCUUUGUGGAAAUCUGAAUUCAAACUGGCCUCAGAAAUGAAGGACGCUGGAAAAUUCGAUGAUGUGGUCAUAUUUUUCGAAGAACCGAAGGAAGUGUGGUUGUUCCAAGCCAAACACAAAGACAG